AAAAAAAAAGAUUGAGCCUCAUCACAAUAGUGCGUAGAGAUCAGAGGUCAGGGCUCUGUCACACAGGACGGCCUGGAGUUUGUCGUAAGCCAGUGAAGUAGACGGUGGUGGCUGGCAGGUUCAUCACCCAGUUAUCCUAGCGCCUCACAAUCUUCACAAAGGCACCCAUGCUGCCAGUGAAGCGCGUCCUGGCGGCACAGCGGAUACCAUUUGGAGACAGGUGCAGGGGCUCCAGGACACCACUGCGGCACAGGAGGCCCUGCCCCGUGGCUCGGAGGGAGGAGGGCGAUUCGGCUUAGGAGAGGUCCAGAGUCUGGAGUGAGGCUUCAGUCCCAGCAGGGCGCUGAGAGCGCAGGCGGACCUUCACCACGUCCAGGGGUGUCCUGGAGAUGGAGGUGACGGCUGCCCGAGGCCACCACUUGUUGGAGGAGGCUAACGCCCUCAGGUCCUGCUCAACCGCCUCCUGGCUUCAAUCCUGCCUCUAGGCCUGGCUGGCGCGGCGGCGCGCUCGGGCUCACUGCAGGGUCUGCGCAUGCUCGCCUCCUGACAAAGCCCACUCUGAGAGCAUUGCUGAAUUUGAUUUGCUGAUAUUUUG
rnacentral:lncRNA from 10 species